CCUUCGGGAACUGAACACAGGUGGUGCAUGGCUGUCGUCAGCUCGUGGCGUGAGAUGUUGGGUUAAGUCCCGCAACGAGCGCAACCCUCGUUUUUAGUUGCCAUCAUUCAGUUGGGCACUCUAGAGGGACUGCCGGUGACAAACCGGAGGAAGGUGGGGAUGACGUCAAGUCAGCAUGCCCCUUACGUCCUGGGCUACACACGUACUACAAUGGCUGCGGACAAAGGGUUGCAAGCUCGCGAGAGCAAGCUAAUCCCAUAAACCGUGGCUCAGUUCAGAUUGCAGGCUGCAACUCGCCUGCAUGAAGGAGGAAUCGCUAGUAAUCGCAGGUCAGCAUACUGCGGUGAAUACGUUCCCGGGCCUUGUACACACCGCCCGUCACACCAUGGAAGUUGGCCACGCCCGAAGUCAUUACUCCAACCGCAAGGAGGAGGAUGCCGAAGGCAGGGCUGAUGACUGGGGUGAAGUCGUAACAAGGUAA
rnacentral:rRNA from 1 species